CAAUAAUGAUUCUUUCUCGUCCAGAACUAAGACACCAGACUCACAGCCUCAAGUUCCAAAGGAUUCUACAAAGAAUGCUAGGAUAAAGUUCAUCCUUGACAAAUAUCCGAAGUUGAGGAAAAUGGGCGAUCACUCUAAAUCUGAACAAGCUGACUUGCAUUCCAAAAAAGGUUAUAUAAGGAAUUUUAAUGCCUAUAUAAGGUAUAGUAAUCUAGUUUUUUAUUACUAUAUAAGGAAUUUUAAUAUUUUAAUUGAUUACAAUAUUUUGUUGUUUUAAA